GUCGUAACAAGGUUUCCGUAGGUGAACCUGCGGAAGGAUCAUUACCACACCUCUUUUUACUAUUGUAUUCUUCGACACUAUACUUUCGGGUAUAUGUCUUUGAAUACUUUAGUGAGAAACAAGAGAAGGAUUGUCUUGAGAGACUUAAAAACCUCUCAAGUCAUCUGACUUUUGCGUCCCACGGACUUAUUUUCUUAUAUUAUAGUUGUCCUUUGGAUACUAUAGUAUAAAAAACACUUACAUAACAUUACAAAUGUUAACUGAUUCUGAUUUUAUUAAUUCGAAGUUACUGAGUUUAUUCUCUAUAACAACGAUACAUAUUAAUGAAAAAACACUUUCAGCAACGGAUGUCUUGGCUCCCAU
rnacentral:misc_RNA from 1 species